GCCGGGCAUAGUACCUGUAGUCCUAGCUACUAGGGAGGCUGAGGUAGGAGGAUCACUUGAGCCCAGCAGUUCUGGGCUGUAUUAUGCCGACUCGGUGUCUGCACUAAGAAUGGCAUUGAUACGGUAACCUCCCAGAAGAUGGGGGACCAUUAGUUUGCCUAAGAAGGGGUGAGGUGGCCCAGGUUGGAAAUGGGGAAGGUCAAAACUCCUAUACUGAUGAGUAGUGGGACCGCACCUGUGAAUAACCACUACAUUCCAGCCUGGGCAACGUGGUGAGACCCUGUCU
rnacentral:SRP_RNA from 10 species